GAUGAACGCUGGCGGCGUGCCUAAUACAUGCAAGUCGAGCGAACGGACGAGAAGCUUGCUUCUCUGAUGUUAGCGGCGGACGGGUGAGUAACACGUGGAUAACCUACCUAUAAGACUGGGAUAACUUCGGGAAACCGGAGCUAAUACCGGAUAAUAUUUUGAACCGCAUGGUUCAAAAGUGAAAGACGGUCUUGCUGUCACUUAUAGAUGGAUCCGGGCUGCAUUAGCUAGUUGGUAAGGUAACGGCUACCAAGGCAACGAGGCAUAGCCGACCUGAGAGGGUGAUCGGCCACACUGGAGGUGAGCCGCGGUCCAGACGCCUACGGGAGGCAGCAGUAGGGAAUCUGCCGCAGUGGGCGAAAGCCUGACGGAGCGACGCCGCGUGAGUGAUGAAGGUCUUCGGAUCGUAAAACUCUGUUAUUAGGGAAGAACAUAUGUGUAAGUAACUGUGCACAUCUUGACGGUACCGAAUCAGAAAGCCACGGCUAACUACGUG
rnacentral:rRNA from 1 species